GCUGGGAUUAUAGGCAUGAGCCACUGCGCCCAGCCGGUUAUGCCAGUUUAAAGUCCUUAUUCUGUGUGAAGCUUUGUGUUACUUUUGUGUUUCAGUACGUUCCCCUACCUAAUCCUUAUAAAACUCUGUCUAGGUUAUGCAAUUUGUGGGGCCCAGUGAAAAAAGAAAAUGUUGGGCCCCUUGUUCAAAUUAUUAAGAAUUUCAAGAUGGCAACAGAAGAGCAUUGAACCAAACACACGGCACUUUGCAGCUUUGCAGUGUGAGCCCUGCAAGAUGGCACGAGUCAGAUGCCGUGAAGCUGGGUGUUAUGUCCUCAUUUAUCACAGGAGGAGACUGAGACACAGAGGAGCUAUGUCUUACUCAAGGCCAGACAGCUUGGAUGCUGAAGAGGCUGUUGUCAUGAGAAACUCCAUCGCUAAUGGCUAUAACUGUGCUUGUGCAACUAUGACAAAGAACUUCCCCCACAAUGCUGUGGCUGGAAUGAUGCUAGUGAAAUUCAGGUGGCAGUUGAAGACAAGAAGAUGGAGAACGGCCUGAGAUGUGACAAAUACUUGCAUUCACCACAUAUGAAAUUUGGGAUCGGCCUUGGCAUAGGAUGGCACAUGAGGACUUCGGUGUUCUCCCCUCCUCCUGCAGGAUUCCAGCGAGAUUGGAAUGAUCAUGACAGCUGACACAUCCAGCUGAGACUCCUGGCAUUGCUCACUGGCCUAACAUGAAAACGUUUCUUUUGCCUCCUACUGGCAUGGAGGCUGUGGAACAAACACCACUGGGAUCACUUAGGGUGCUCCAGGGAAGGUGCCCUAGAUGAUGGCAUGGGGUCUGUCAUCUCUCUCCCUGCUGUCCCAACAAGCACAGUGGAAGGAACCAGCAGGUGAGGGGAAUCCAGCCUCUUAGGGAUGUCACCAAGGCCUCUUAGCUCUUCCCAUGCUUCCAUUCCACCAUCCCCAGCACAUUGACUUUCAUCCUCAGCUUCAGCCUCUCAAAUCCACAAGACAUCGUUUUCUCAUAAAAUUGUGCCCAAAUACAGGAAGAGUGUCUUAUUUUGGGUUCCCCUAAAAGCAGAGCCUGAUAUAUAAUUUGGGAACUGGUCCAGAAGUGGGAGUGAGAAACUGGGGACCGUGAGGCAGGAAGGGAGGAAAAGGCAGCGUAAGGGCUCACUGUGGAGGCAGGUGCCGUGGUCUCUGGGAAUCAUGCAGAACAUGGUCAGAAUUUGUUCACCUGAAGGUGAUGCUCCUGGAGACUUCUUCCAGUGCCCCUGUUCCCCAGCGGCUUGGAGGGUUUUGAAUGCAGGUGUUUGGCAUGGCAGUGGGGCAGUGCAGGAGAAAACUCAAAGGCAAAAAGUCAAGGUGCUCAAUGUGGGCUUGGGGUGGUGCACUGCCGGCUCAAGGUGAGUCUGGGCUCGUGAAGAUGCUCUCCAUUAUGGUGGUCUGAAGUGAAGGUUCAGUACUACGUGCUGCCUCAAUACCUGACAGUAGGAGGGUAAGCUCCCCUCCACUCUGCUCCUACAGAUAAGGUUCCCUAGCCAAACAAUCCUCCUUAUCACUGUGACCAGCCACAGUUCCUCCUUAUUCUUAUCCUGAGUAUAGGAUUCAGUUCCCUGCCAGACCAGGGAAUUAUUCAAAUAAGCCAAGCGCAUCCUCCCAUGGGACUCAGGGGGCGCCUCAUCCUCUUGAUGCUACAAAAACUGCUUCCCACAGCCCCUGCUUAUUCACCCUGUUCCCAAGUGCCCUCUGUUCCCUGGGCCCCGCUUAGUGUGGAGUGUGCUGUGUUCUCUUCCACAGGCUGUGAGUAUGUGUGAUUGAUAAACUGCUGGCAGCGCAUCUGUCCAGUGUUGGGUGUUGGGAGUUGAGUGCUUAGCUAUCCCCAUUACCCUGUGGUGGGACUCUCUCCCUCACCAGUGGGGUGUCACGGAAGGAAUAAAAAUCACUGUGACUCAGAAUGUCCAUCACCACUGCAGCUGAAAUUAAG
ensembl:lincRNA